ACAGAGAGGAUAGAGAAGCAGGAGAGGGGCAGAAGAGAGGAGUCCUGGUCACACGCUUAGACAUUUGCUCUUCUUGUGCUUACACAGGAUUUUUCUGGCAGCCAAACCCCAAGGCCCCGCCUCGGACUGAUGUCUUUGCAGGUGGCAGGCGGCUGCUACAUCAGGAGGUACAUCCAGAGUGAUACGAAACCUCCGGCAUUUGGCCAAAAAGGAUGUUACUUCUGGAGACUGACACAUCUGCCUCCUUCCUCCCCAGCUGCCUGACCAGUUUCCCUCAUCCUGGGGCUUCUGUGGCCGUUUGUUCUCAAGCAGCCCAGGGUUGGCUGUUUGGUGGCAACUCUUCUGAAAUACAAGGAGAAUCUGGCCAGACUUAAAUCCAGAACUCCUUGGUGGUUCCUGGCAAGUGUUUUUCCCACGUAGAAGGUGCCUGCUUGUCCAGACCUCACACCUUUCUUUUUACCUUUUCUUUCGUGAGUGAUGUCAAGGUCGGGUGCUAAGUGCGCCUGCCCUUUCUGCCUCCGUGCCUCCCACUGCUCCCAGUUCAUACUCUCAUCUCCUCCUAUCCUUUAAGGAGGAGCAUUCUUUUCCUUUUUGAAAACGAUUCGACUCCUUUAAACUGUUGGGAUUAUUGCCUCUAAAAGGCCCGCCUGGCACACUGCCUGGCAGCAUCUGGAGUCUGAACUGUCCAACUGACAGCCCCUCCCCCCCACUCCCUGCCUCUGAGUGGCUAAGGCAGCCAGGCAUACAUCUGGCCUACAGUUCUCUUUUCUGGCAACCCCAUUAGAUUGUUCUUAUCCUAGAAAGGAGACAGCUGUUGGGGGUGUGAGGCGAGUUCGGGCUGGGCCGUUAGCUCCCUUAUCAACCUCUCAAGGCACAGAGGCACUGUGGGAUACCUACCCAGGGAUCUCCAUCUUCCCCAUUACUAUAGAAAGAAGCUGUCAUUGGGGAGUCACCCCCUGUUUUUAGACAGGCCCAGAAGCAACUGAGUUGAGAAAGUAUACGGGUUUAGGUUGGAAGUGGGAAGCCAGCCAGGACAUUUAUUUCUGUUCUCCCUUUAGGAGCAACUGAAAUGUCUACAGAUAGUGUCUGAUCACUGAAAAACCACAUCCCUGUGGCCCAUUUCCUCUGACUUUCCAGUGGGAACCAAAUAGGAUGAAGAGUAGGGUGUACCAGUUUAUUAAGUAGUUAUAUGCUGAGGACCAGCUUGAAAGGGAUGUUUCUAACUUGAGAACAUAACCCUGUUGGUUGAGAAAAAAAGGAAGAUUAAUUUAUGUGAGGGCUGUGGCAAUCUGUUGGUAUUCUUCCAUGACAUCCUGUGGGAUUGCCUUUAAAUACACAUCUUUCCUCCGGAUUUCCUAUUAUGUUUCCUAAUUCCAGUUAAUCCAGAAGGGAUGCUUUAUUAGGGAGUCUCAAAGAGUUCAAACGUUCUUCUCUUUCCUUCCUCGGUGUCUGUUUCCCCUGCUGCCACCCCACUGUAACACAGGCUGCCAGCCCCACUGCAUCCCUUUCUGGUUCCCAAGCAUUGCUUUGUCAGGCCGGCUACAGGAUGUCAGUAGGUGGUAACUGGUGACAUUUAUAAGUUACACCUAAAGAUUGGCCUCAUCCAAAUGUUGUCUUCACUCUCCUAAGAAAUGGGAGAGGAAGUUUAUAAGAUAGAGUAACAGGGUGCUUCAUAGUGCAUACAUGAGCUGGGUGAUCCUAAUGCCACAUGCCUUAUGAAGUGUCAGCCCUGGAGCCCUGGGGAGCUUGCUGGGUCUUUCCUUGAUCCAGGCAGCACCUAGGCUUUACCUUUGGCAUCCAGGGAUAACCAAAGUGAGUAAGGCCUGGGCCAUAUUUAUUAUAUAGAGCAGGACUCAUCCAGGGUUUUGACUUCCCAGGUUGUACAAGAAGGGUCUGCUACUUAGGAGGUAUUAAAGUCUGCUCUUCUGGAGGCCCUGAAUUACACACAUUGUCUGCUCACACACCGCUGGAUAUGAUGAAUUUCUAUGAAUACUGUGUCUCUUUUAUUCUUUCCUAUGAGUUCAAAGUAGCUUUUGAAAUGUAUAAUUGGAGUCCCUGCCCUUCCCCCCAAGCCUCCGGUUCCCAGUGUGAUAGGCCUUGCAGACUGGAUUAUGGAUGACCAGACAUAGUGUGUCCCCAUCAAGAUGUUUAUCAUUUAUUAUGACUUUUGUCUUCUUUGCUAAGAAUCCUCAGAUAAUUGUUCAACUUGAUCUCCAUUUCAUUUUGUCUGUGUAGACAGAGCUAAAGAGUGGAGAAAAAUUUGGCCUACAUGACAGCUCCAGAGAGCAGUACCCCAGGAGUGGAGUGGGGAGACACUGGCAUCCUGCUGUAUACCCAGAAUGUCUCUUGCAAGUACUGAAACACACCGUGGCAAUCAGCUAAAGAAAUCUGUUAACAGGCCUUAAAACCUUGAGAAAGGCAGAACUAGGAAGAGAGAAAAGUGAAAGGAAACUAAAAGAAAGACGAGCUCAGGUGACAGAAAUGGAAAGGAACAAAGCAUGAUUUCUAGAACAGAAAACACGAGUUCAGACAGCAGAGGGGACUAGGACAAGAAGCUCCUGCUUUCCAGACUCUCUCUGAUGGCACAGCUUUCAGACAUGUGUGCACUGACCAGCGAAGACCUCUGGUUCGACAGAGAAAAAUGGAAGCUUCAGUCUCCAGCUGUUCCUCAAAGAACUGAAAGACUGUCUGCUUCGUACAGACGUACCACCGCUGCAGCCUGUGACUCUGAGGUGCAAACUUGGCCAGCCCAGAGUGGUAAUUUUAGGGGGGAGUUUUACUUUAAACCCCACACUGGCAGUUGGGUCAGAUUUUUAUGUGAUGAUUUUGUGUUCUGCAUAUAAGGAAGUACUGCUCAUUGGCUGCUAUGAAUUGCCCCAAACAUCUCUCUCCAGAAUAAACUUGUGCUUUGCAGCUGAAAUGAAACAUACUGGGGCCACACUCAGAACAGGAUGUCCAUGGCUUGGCGUGGUGGUCCGUGGUGAGCUGCUGACAUGAACCCUGGAGUGGGAACCGCCACACUCCAUAGCUGGAGCUCUCUAUGGAAGGCAGGAGCCUUCGGGAUACGGAGCUUAAGGGCUGUGAUGAGUGGCAGGCUGCGAACAUUUUGGCGGGAUGCAAAUGCACUGGACUAUUUUUAAAGGAGGCACGUACUCUUGUGCAGCAUUUGAUGAGUGGUGGUGGCAGGCCAGUUUUGGCACAGAAAGGGAGGAAAAAUAGCCACAAUUCAGAUCUUCUAGCCAGAGCAGUUUAGAAUGUAUCUCCAUGGAAAAUGGAAAUUGUUUGGGAAUCUGCUCAGGAAACAGGCAGGUGGGAAACCUGACUGCCGCUAUUGACUGAAGGACACUGGCUGUGUUGUCUGACCUUUCAGGAUGGCAGUGUCCUUUUUUGAUAAAAUGAGGAGGUUAGGCCAUUAGGGAAGCUUUCAGGGCCUUUCAGAUUUUAAAUUUGGUGAGUCUCUGGGAAAGGUAAAUAGGAAUUUGCUGAGAUUGUUUUGUGCAGUGUAUUGGGCAAGGUUCGUCAGGUGCAAGUUAUGGAAACAUUCUGGGAAUUUAUCAGUAGGACACUGAGUGCACUCACAGGAUCAAAAGAGAAGCCGAGUGCCUGAGUCAUGCAAAGGAGGGGAACCAGGACAAUGCUCGGGGUGUGGGUAGUAGACCUGAAAUGUCGUCUCCUGGGACUUUACUGACAAGUCUACCAAGUCUAACAUUUUUUGAUCUUGUAUUACUCUACCCUAGCUUCAGAGUUCCUGGGUGAGAGAGGGUCUGAUUGACCUAUCUUGGGUCCAGUACCAACUCCUUGGCAAGGGAACACAGGAUGCCUGGAUUGACAGGCCCACUAAUACUGUGUGCAAUGGGUGUGUGUGUGGUAGUGGGGCUGGGGGUGUGCGUAGGAGGUGGGAGGGAAGAAUAACUUCCCAAAGGACAAGUGUGUUGUUAUCAAAAAGAAAAAAAAAAGAUAAAAAGGAGGCAUAGACACUGCAUGCACUAAAAUAACAUAUUUUCAGUACUCAGACAUAAUGAAUAAAAGGGAGAAAGUUUGGACCAUCACAGUGUCUAUUUUUAAGGUCAUAAUGAGCACAGCUAUUGGUCUUCUCAGUGCAGUCCUAUCGAACGUUUGCUUAAAUGUUCCAGUCAGUUGAGUAGAGACGAGCAUUUCUACAUGUGGUCUGUGACCUGGCCAGGAUUCUGGCUAUUUCAGCCAUUUGUCCAGUCCAUUUAUGAGUAGAAUUGAAUGUACAGGAUUAAAUGAAGCUGAAAUGACUGGGAUGAUGGUAUUACGUCUGUCUUUUUUUUUUUUUUCUCUCUUCCCAUUCAGCUUUUAUUUUGAGGAAUUAAAAAGUUUUACAAAACUACAAACAAUUUAACAAAAAUUCCUUGGUGGUUAUAAAAAGUCAUUUCACUAGAUUGGUUUCCCACAGUAUACUGAACACAGGUAAGUUACAUGGUGUCUUUUACUUUGCAGUGGAAUGGGUAACA